rnacentral:pre_miRNA from 1 species
ACAACAUUUGGACCUUUUUUUUUGUCUGUCUACCGAGCAAUGUCAACUGCUCGGUGGAAGAUCUUUCUUUCGUCGU